GAUGAACGCUGGCGGCGUGCUUAACACAUGCAAGUCGAACGAGAGAAGAUCGGUGCUUGCGCUGAUCCGAUCGAGUGGCGGACGGGUGAGUAACGCGUGGGUAACCUGCCUCAUACAGGGGAAUAACAGUUGGAAACGGCUGCUAAAACCGCAUAAGCGCACAGUAUCGCAUGAUACAGUGUGAAAAACUCCGGUGGUAUGAGAUGGACCCGCGUCUGAUUAGCUAGUUGGUGAGGUAACGGCCCACCAAGGCAACGAUCAGUAGCCGGCCUGAGAGGGUGAACGGCCACAUUGGGACUGAGACACGGCCCAAACUCCUACGGGAGGCAGCAGUGGGGAAUAUUGCACAAUGGGGGAAACCCUGAUGCAGCGACGCCGCGUGAGUGAUGAAGUAUUUCGGUAUGUAAAGCUCUAUCCGCAGGGAAGAUAAUGACGGUACCUGACUAAGAAGCACCGGCUAAAUACGUGCCAGCCGCCGCGGUAA
rnacentral:rRNA from 1 species